AACGAACGCUGGCGGCAUGCCUAACACAUGCAAGUCGAACGAGACCUUCGGGUCUAGUGGCGCACGGGUGCGUAACGCGUGGGAACCCGCCCUUAGGUUCGGAAUAACUCCCCGAAAGGGGUGCUAAUACCGGAUAAUGUCUUCGGACCAAAGAUUUAUCGCCUUUGGAUGGGCCCGCGUUGGAUUAGCUAGUUGGUAGGGUAAAAGCCUACCAAGGCGACGAUCCAUAGCUGGUCUGAGAGGAUGAUCAGCCACACUGGGACUGAGACACGGCCCAGACUCCUACGGGAGGCAGCAGUGGGGAAUAUUGGACAAUGGGCGAAAGCCUGAUCCAGCAAUGCCGCGUGAGUGAUGAAGGCCUUAGGGUUGUAAAGCUCUUUUACCCGGGAUGACAAUGACAGUACCGGGAGAAUAAGCUCCGGCUAACUCCGUG
rnacentral:rRNA from 1 species